ACCCAUCUAGCUCAGUCGGUAGAGCGCUGGCCUUUUAAGCCAGUGGUCGUGGGGGGUU
rfam:Phytophthora parasitica INRA-310 unplaced genomic scaffold supercont2.369, whole genome shotgun sequence.